GACGAACGCUGGCGGCGUGCUUAACACAUGCAAGUCGAACGGUAAGGCCCUUCGGGGGUACACGAGUGGCGAACGGGUGAGUAACACGUGGGUGAUGUGCCCUGCACUUCGGGAUAAGCCUGGGAAACUGGGUCUAAUACCGGAUAGGACCACUGCCUGCAUGGGUGGUGGUGGAAAGCUUUUGCGGUGUGGGAUGGGCCCGCGGCCUAUCAGCUUGUUGGUGGGGUGAUGGCCUACCAAGGCGACGACGGGUAGCCGGCCUGAGAGGGUGACCGGCCACACUGGGACUGAGAUACGGCCCAGACUCCUACGGGAGGCAGCAGUGGGGAAUAUUGCACAAUGGGCGCAAGCAUGAUGCAGCGACGCCGCGUGAGGGAUGACGGCCUUCGGGUUGUAAACCUCUUUCAGCACCGACGAAGCGCAAGUGACGGUAGGUGCAGAAGAAGGACCGGCCAACUACGUGCCAGCCGCCGCCGUAA
rnacentral:rRNA from 1 species